rnacentral:rRNA from 1 species
CGGCGGACGGGUGAGUAAUGUAUGGGGAUCUGCCUGAUGGCGGGGGAUAACUACUGGAAACGGUAGCUAAUACCGCAUAAUGUCUGCGGACCAAAGCGGGGGGACCUCCGGGCCUCGCGCCAUCAGAUGAACCCAUAUGGGAUUAGCUAGUAGGUAAGGUAACGGCUUACCUAGGCGACGAUCCCUAGCUGGUCUGAGAGGAUGACCAGCCACACUGGAACUGAGACACGGUCCGG